AGUGAGCGGCAACAGCUCAAAUUUGAAAGCCCGCGGGCGUUGUAAUUUGCAGGCGGAUGUUUUGGGGCGGGCGCUGUCUACGUUCCUUGGAACAGGACGCCGCAGAGGGUGAGAGCCCCGUGCGAUGGCGCCUCUAACCGCGUAAAACUCCGCCGACGAGUCGAGUUGUUUGGGAAUGCAGCUCCAAGUGGGUGGUAAAUUCCAUCUAAAGCUAAAUACUGGCGAGAGACCGAUAGCGAACAAGUACAGUGAUGGAAAGAUGAAAAGCACUUUGAAAAGAGAGUGAAACAGCACGUGAAAUUGUUGAAAGGGAAGGGUAUGCGAUUAGCGGCCAGCAGGAGGUGCCUUCUCGUGAAAAGGCCGUGCACCGUCUUCGGACACCGUGCGCGGAGAUGGCGAGGGGGCGCCUGAGGUCUGCGAACUCGAGGUUGCUGGCGUAAUGAUUGCAUACCACCCGUCUUGA
rnacentral:rRNA from 1 species